rnacentral:rRNA from 1 species
GCUCAAAUUUGAAAUCUGGCUCCGGCCCGAGUUGUAAUUUGUAGAGGGUGUUUCGGGGGCGGCUCGGUCUAGGUUCCUUGGAACAGGGCGUCAUAGAGGGUGAGAAUCCCGUAUGUGACCGGUGACCAACCCCAUGUGAAACCCCUUCGACGAGUCGAGUUGUUUGGGAAUGCAGCUCAAAAUGGGUGGUAAAUUUCAUCUAAAGCUAAAUACCGGCCAGAGACCGAUAGCGCACAAGUAGAGUGAUCGAAAGAUGAAAAGCACUUUGGAAAGAGAGUUAAAAAGUACGUGAAAUUGUUGAAAGGGAAGCGCUUGCAACCAGACCUGCCCGCGGGCGAUCAGCGGGGGUUCUCCCCCGUGCACUCGCCCGUGAUCAGGCCAGCAUCGGUUUGGGCGGUCGGAUAAAGACCUUGGGAAUGUAGCUCCCCCCGGGGAGUCUUAUAGCCCUCGGUGUAAUGCGGCCAGCCCGGACCGAGGACCGCGCUUCGGCUAGGAUGCUGGCGUAAUGGUUGUAAGCGACCCGUCUUGAAACACGGACCAAGGAGUCUAACAUCUAUGCGAGUGUUUGGGUGUCAAACCCAUGCGCGAAAUGAAAGUGAACGGAGGUGGGAACCCUCAAGGGCGCACCAUCGACCGAUCCAGAUGUCUU